CCAUCGGCUACUGGUAUGCUGUGCUACACGCGUGCUACAAUGGCGGUGACAGUGGGAAGCUAGAUGGCGACAUCGUGCUGAUCUCUAAAAGCCGUCUCAGUUCGGAUUGCACUCUGCAACUCGAGUGCAUGAAGGUGGAAUCGCUAGUAAUCGCGGAUCAGCAUGCCGCGGUGAAUACGUUCCCGGGCCUUGUACACACCGCCCGUCACACCAUGGGAGUUGGUUUGACCUUAAGCCGGUGAGCGAACCCGCAAGGGGCGCAGCCGACCACGGUCGGGUCAGCGACUGGGGUGAAGUCGUAACAAGGUAGCCGUAGGGGAACCUGCGGUUGGAUCACCUCCUAA
rnacentral:rRNA from 1 species